rnacentral:rRNA from 1 species
UACGUAGGGCGCGAGCGUUGUCCGGAAUUAUUGGGCGUAAAGAGCUUGUAGGCGGUUUGUCGCGUCUGCUGUGAAAUUUCGGGGCUCAACCCCGAACUUGCAGUGGGUACGGGCAGACUAGAGUGUGGUAGGGGAGACUGGAAGUUCCUGGUGUAGCGGUGAAAUGCGCAGAUAUCAGGAGGAACACCGAUGGCGAAGGCAGGUCUCUGGGCCAUAACUGACGCUGAGAAGCGAAAGCAUGGGGAGCGAACAGG